UACAGAGGGUGCAAGCGUUAAUCGGAAUUACUGGGCGUAAAGCGUGCGUAGACCGUUGCGUAAGUCGGGUGUGAAAGCCCCGGGCUCAACCUGGGAAUUGCAUUCGAGACUGCGCAGCUAGGGUGCGGAAGAGGGAAGUGGAAUUUCCGGUGUAGCGGUGAAAUGCGUAGAUAUCGGAAGGAACAUCAGUGGCGAAAGCGACUUCCUGGUCCAGCACCGACGUUCAGGCACGAAAGCGUGGGGAGCAAACAGGAUUAGAAACCCCAGUAGUCC
rnacentral:rRNA from 1 species